AAAUUAACAAUAGGACGGUCGUUUUAAAUAUAAUGCUGCGAUGCUAAAAAAAUUAUUAUAUAAUCCAUUAUAAUUUAAGAAUCUGUUUAUUUUACGGUGUCAAUAUAGAAUACAACACAACCUUGUACUGUAAUAAGCUUCCAAACCAAUAAAAACAAUUGAUUAAAAAUUCUAAAAAAAAAUGUUGGAUUCAAAUACCAAAGUAUACUGAAGCAUGUAAUAUACUAGUAAUUGAACAAAUUGUCUUCAUUAAAUGUUUAUGAAGUGCAGUUCUUAGCCCUAAUACUAAACUCAAUAAAUGUGUUGUAAUGGACAUUAAUGUUAUGGAAUACCUAUAAAUACCAACAUGUUCCUACACAUCUCAAAUAAAAAAUAACGUGACUGUUUACUUUGGAAUUUUGGUCUACUAAAUGAACAUUAAACAGUCUACAGUCAAUAUGAGUCAAAUACUAGACUGUCAUUCAGACGAUGUUUUACGAACCCCACGCCGCCGCCUCCGUGAAUGAUACACGUCGCGCGUAAUGCGCUGCGGCGGCGACCAACCAAAUUUUUGAAAAUGCUCUUCGUCAUGCACAAUAAAUUAGAGCUUAUCCUGAUUCAGAUUAUUAUAUUUUGUUUAUUUCUGUACGUUUAGCUCGUUCUCGAGAAAUAGAGUGGACAAACAUACAUAGGGCCGGCUCAGGCGAAAAUAGUGAACUAGUCAAAACCAAAUUUUGCCGCCCCUAACAAUAUUAUAUUAUCAGUAUUUUGAAAAUGCCGCCC